rnacentral:ncRNA from 1 species
AUUAUUACGGGCCAUAUUUGGCCUUGAGGUUUCCACUUCAAAAGAAACUUCUCUGAAGGCCGUGCCUAAGGGCAUAUCGGUUGAAGUAGAUUCUUCUUUUCUCUCAAAAAACCCCUUCCCAAACGGUGCAGGCUUCUUCAAAAGCAUACGGCUUCCCCCUAACUCUGUGCCAGCAGCCGCGGUAAGACAGAGGAUGCAAGCGUUACCCGGAAUGAUUGGGCGUAAAGCGUCUGUAGGUGGCUUUUCAAGUCCGCCGUCAAAUCCCAGGGCUCAACCCUGGACAGGCGGUGGAAACUACCAAGCUGGGCCUUAUUUGCAAAUGUGGAGAGGUGUGUGGGUACCUUUUUGCAAAAUUGCCAUAGUUUCCUUCCUAU